UACAUGAUGGGCAAAGUAAAGAAAAGAUUGAAAGAUUGCCUUUUAAACACUGGUCUCCCUUGAAUUUUUAUAGUGGUGUGUUUUUACACGAGCAACAAUAAAACUUUGAUGAAAUAUUGGGUCAGUUUAGGAGCAAGGUUGAAGGCUCUAUACCUAAGAGACACAAAGCGUCGACCCACGUGAAGUGAGACGCACUUUAACGGUCUUGUGACUGUAACUGAUGGAUUGAGAUGGCACCUGCUGAGAUUGCUUCUAUGUUUGAGGGUCUGCCACAUGGUAGGAGAUGGGUAUUGGAAGAAAUUUACUCAGGUAAUCCACUGUGAGACUAAGAGUGUUGUGUCACCUAGGAAUCUGUAUAAGGCUUCUGCUUUAUCACCCCCUAUGAACUCUAAAGCUCUUGCAACGACAAACACAUCACUCAACAGAGUAAUGGUAAAUUGUAAGAAGGCUUGCCUUUGAACGGUGGCCGGAUAACUAUUGUAUUUCUUUCAAAGGCUAACAGCCAUUUUUGGUCCUUGAGUUCAUAUAAGAACUAAUCUACAUGCUACAGUAUCUGAAUGCCAAUGGAGUCUGAAUUUGAGGGGGGAGAGAAUACAUUUGCUGACAGGACUCAUGGGUCACAUGAUCCCUGUGUGCUUUGCUUCCUGUAAAUGAAUGCAGAUGUUACAAAGAUCCGCUUGAAAUGCCAACAAAGUGUGCAGCUGGCAUUGCUGUGGCAUGCGCUACCGUGUGACACAUGUAUGGCGAAACUACUUCAAUUACCACAAUAAAAUGUCAACACAAGAAGCCU
rnacentral:lncRNA from 1 species